rnacentral:lncRNA from 1 species
CACCCAGCGGCCCUGAGCACUGGACUAGCCUUCAGAGGUCGGGUAAGCAAGGUAGAACCAUCAUGGAAUGUUCCAUCAAGACCUUGGGCUGCUCCACAGCUGCAGGCCUCAGCCAGAGUGCCGGAGGUGGUAAAGAGAUUCUGCUACAGAAAAGGUAGCUAUGUGUAAUUUAGCUACCAUUAUUAGAGCAUCAAUUGCCUACUGAAAGUUUGGAGACUACAGAUUUGGAAUACAGGCAUUGAGAAUGACGUGACUAAACCGCAUCUAUUCUGUAUGCAGGUUUAAACUCCUGCUCAUCAGGAAUACAAACUGCUUGAAGGCAAAUUCGAGCAUGACAGGUGCAGACAGGGAAAAAUUCCGAGCCUAUCGCUCGCAUGUGCAUCAGUGCAUGGUAUUAUUUGCAACGGGGCUUGGCACAGAAGCUGCCAAGGGGUCCUUUUAGGACACAGCACCACUCGGCACAGAAUCGUCGUUCUCUGGGAAACGAGGCUCCCCGGUUGCAGUGUCUGAGUGCUGAGAUGCGAUGGGCGGCGCCAGGGGCGCGUUUCCUGAGGCCUGCAGCCCACAGAAGGCAAGGAGGCCACGGCCGUGCGGCUCGUCACAUCCAGCUGCGGUCCUUCUCACAGGUAUUUUACAGACACUCUUAUUGUACCUGCAAAGCCCUGGCCCUUGGACCCGGCAGUCCUUCGCCCACUGGAUGCUGACAGAAAAUGCCCCCUUUGAAUGCCAACAUAGCUUCAGAAUGUAUCGUGCAAAGGUCAGAUCUUUAAGCCUCACUCUUUAGAGAAGCUGAGAAUAACAUCCUUUCACCGGAGCCACUUCCAAGAGCAGAUUUUGUCCCUUAAGUACAGCCGGCAGGAAGAAGACUUAAAUUAUGUCACGUUCGGCAACUACAAACAUGACGCAUCUCCGCCUGCCGCGGCCACGUUGCGGGCUGGAGGAGAAAAACAAGACGGCGGCGAGCAGCGCGCGACGCGAGACCGCGGCAUCUGACCCCAGUCUGCGCGCUGAACAAAUGUUUCCCCUGUUCGAACGCCGGCGCUAUGGAACGGCGGCGAUCUCAAAGCUCCGCCUCAGGCGGCGGGGAAACAGACGAGGAGAGGCCCGGGCUGCCGCCCGAUUGGUCGCGGGCCCGCGAGACGUCAGGCUCCCACGUGGGGACCACCCCUCGCCCUCCCUCUCCGGGCCCCUGUGCUCAUUUGUCAGCGGCGAAAUGAUGGGCAUUAAUACAGAACAGCGAUUAACGCGAGGGCGCCGCUGAUUGGUCGCCGGCGACGCCCUUCGUGGGCAGAGCG